AAUUAAGCGCACACGGUGGAUGCCUUGGCGAUAACAGGCGAUGAAGGACGUGGUAGUCUGCGAAAAGCCUCGGAGAGUCGACAAACAGGCUGUGACCCGAGGAUGUCCGAAUGGGGAAACCCACCUCUUAGAGGUAUCUACACCUGAAUCUAUAGGGUGUAGAGGCGAACCUAGGGAACUGAAACAUCUAAGUACCUAGAGGAAAAGAAAUCAACCGAGAUUCCGUCAGUAGCGGCGAGCGAACGCGGAUCAGCCCAGUCACAUCAAACUUAAUACGUUUAGCAGAACGACUUGGAAAAGUCGGCGAUACAGGGUGAUAGUCCCGUAUGCGAAAAGCAUGUUAAGUGGGUGACUAAAAAGUAAGGCGGGACACGUGUUAUCCUGUCUGAAGAAUCUCCUUCGGGAGAGUGGGGGGACCAUCCUCCAAGGCUAAAUACUCGUUAUCGACCGAUAGUGAACUAGUACCGUGAGGGAAAGGCGAAAAGAACCCCUGUUAGGGGAGUGAAAUAGAACCUGAAACCGUGUGCGUACAAGCAGUGGGAGCAUCGUUUAGCGAUGUGACUGCGUACCUUUUGUAUAAUGGGUCAGCGACUUACUUUCAGUGGCAAGCUUAACCGUUUAGGGGAGGCGUAGGGAAACCGAGUCUUAAUAGGGCGAAUUAGUCGCUGGGAGUAGACCCGAAACCGAGCGAUCUAUCCAUGGUCAGGGUGAAGAUGGGGUAAUUCCUAUUGGAGGCCCGAACCCACCGUCGUUGAAAAGCCGGGGGAUGAACUGUGGAUAGGAGUGAAAGGCUAAUCAAGCUCGGAGAUAGCUGGUUCUCCUCGAAAGCUAUUUAGGUAGCGCCUCGUGUCUCACUCUCGGGGGUAGAGCACUGUUACGGCUAGGGGGCCAUCUCGGCUUACCAAACCGUUGCAAACUCCGAAUACCGAGAAGUGCAAUCACGGGAGACACACGGCGGGUGCUAAGGUCCGUCGUGGAAAGGGAAACAGCCCAGACCGCCAGCUAAGGUCCCAAAAUCAUGGCUCAGUGGGAAACGAUGUGGGAAGGCUUAGACAGCCAGGAGGUUGGCUUAGAAGCAGCCACCCUUUAAAGAAAGCGUAAUAGCUCACUGGUCGAGUCGGCCUGCGCGGAAGAUUUAACGGGGCUUAAGCCAUGUACCGAAGCUGCGGAUACCCUCUCGGGGGUAUGGUAGAGGAGCGUUCUGUAAGCCGGUGAAGGUGUGUUGUAAGACAUGCUGGAGGUAUCAGAAGUGCGAAUGCUGACAUGAGUAGCGAUAAUGAAUGUGAAAGACAUUCACGCCGAAAGUCCAAGGUUUCCUCGCGCAACGUUAAUCGGCGCAGGGUGAGUCGGCCCCUAAGGCGAGGCAGAAAUGCGUAGUCGAUGGGAAACAGGUUAAUAUUCCUGUACUUCAGGUUAUUGCGAAGGGGGGACGGAGAAGGCUAUACCAUCAGGAGAUUGGUUGUUCCUGUUCAAGGUUGUAGGCAGAGAACUUAGGUAAAUCCGGGUUCUUAAUGCUGAGAACUGACGACGAGGUCUCUUUUUAGAGUACCGAAGUGGUUAAUGCCAAGCUUCCAAGAAAAGCCUCUAAGCCUCAGAUAACUUGGAACCGUACCCAAAACCGACACAGGUGGACAGGGCGAGAAUCCCAAGGCGCUUGAGAGAACUCGGGUGAAGGAACUAGGCAAAAUAGCACCGUAACUUCGGGAGAAGGUGUGCCCUUGGUACGUGAAAGGACUUGCGCCUGGAGCGGAAGAGGGUUGCAGUGACCAGGUGGCUGCGACUGUUUAUUAAAAACAUAGCACUCUGCAAACACGAAAGUGGACGUAUAGGGUGUGACGCCUGCCCGGUGCCGGAAGGUUAAUUGAUGAUGUUAGGGCAACCGAAGCAUUUGAUCGAAGCCCCGGUAAACGGCGGCCGUAACUAUAAAUAAUUGACCGAUUGUAGUUACGCUAAAAAACUUGGCUAUAUGCUGGAAACGCCGGUGUAUCCUGCAGUACUCGUCUCAAGGUGAGACAGUGACAAUCUGUGAGGUGCGGCCAAUCAGCAGGAAAGAUUCCUAAAAGAAUACUAUCAUGUUAAAGGUAAACGAGAUUCCCAAUAAAAUUGGUUAUUAUCUGGCAGGUUUUACCGAUGGCGAGGGAAGUUUUAAUAUAUCCUUUCGUAAAAGGAAAGAUUAUCAUAUGCCGUGGAAGAUUUCACUGUGUUUUAAUGUAUCGCAGCGUGACAAAGUUAUUUUGUCUUUGUUCAAGCAACAUUUGAAAUGUGGUACGUUACGCAGUAGAGCUGAUGGUGUUUGGUAUUAUGAAGUCAAUAACUUAAAUGCUAUCAUCGAAAAUGUUAUUCCUUUUUUCAAAAAGUUUGGUUUUUUAUCUGCAAAAAAGAAACGUGAUUUUGCUAAAUUUAAAAAACUGGCCAUUAUGUUGAAUAAUGGAGAACAUUUAACGGAAGAGGGAUUGAAAAAUAUCCUGAAAAUCAGAAAAGAUAUGAAUGAUGGUGGUGCAGGAAGACGUAAGUAUUCUGAAACAGAUAUUCUAAAUGGGAUGAACUUGGGAAAAUCCUCAGAGACUACACGCCAAGCAAACACGAAAUAAAUUAAUAUUGCCGCUAUUUUCGUGAAUGAUGAUAUAGUCCGGUCUCUAUAGCGAUAUAGAGGGCUUAAACACAUUGUUUAAGUCGCAUUAGGUAUUUUAAAUACUGGUGUAACAUGACGAACGGUCCUAAGGUUAACUUAACGCUAGCUUUAGUAAAAUUAGGCUAUAUGCUGGAAAGUCCGGUGUAUUCUCCAGUACUCGCUUUUAAAAAAGCAGGAAAAAAGCAGUGAUAAUCUGUGAGAUGCGGAUAAUCAGCAGGAAAGACUCAAUUUUUAUUGAGAAUCCUCAGAGACUACACGCCUAACACGGCUAUUGUAAGCCGUGAAGAGAUAGUCCGAGCUUUAUGGCGACAUAAAGAGAUCGACAGAAAUGAUCGAUCCCGUUUUUUUUGAACGAGUAACAAUAUCUGAGCGAAAUUCCUUGUCGGGUAAGACAACUUGCCCCACUGUCUCGUGAGAGACAGACGAAAAAACCAGCUCAUAUCGGAGAAACCUUCAUAUCUGUGCAGGAUAAAAGGCAAUUCCGAGGGAAGUCUUAGUGACCCCGUAACGACUGACUCGAAAGAGGAGGCACACGAAUCGUGUGCAAUACGCUGGUUACUCACCUCUACAAAAGUGUAGAACAGAGGUGUCUAUGGAGGAAGCAAAAACACUACAACCUUGGUUUGUUACUGGGUUGGUUGAUGGAGAAGGUUGUUUUUCAGUCUCAUUUACACUGCGUAAGCGGCUAAAAAUAGGCAUAGAAACACGUCCGUCUUUCUCUAUAUCUCUCAAUCGUAGAGAUUUGGCUUUGAUUAAAAACAUCCACACAUUCUUUGGAUGUGGUGGUGUACGAUAUUCAAGGUCAGACAGAACCUACAAAUACGAAGUCCGUUCUGUCCAAGAUUUAAUCACUAAGAUAGUGCCGCAUUUUGAGCAGUAUCCACUUCAAGGUGAUAAGUCUGAAGAUUUCAAACGAUUUAGUGAGAUAUGUCGAAGUGUCCAUGCGAAUCAUCAUCUGAGCAAGAAAUAUUUGCCAGAGAUUAUUGAUAAGGCUUAUGCCAUGAAUCCUUCGGGAAAACGAAAACAUGACAAAGCUGACCUCCUAAGGAAACUUGGUGAGAUAAUGGUAUAGUCUACAGCCUAUAGAAAUAUAGGGAAUAAAGUGAAGUUCCGACCUGCACGAAUGGCGUAACGAUGGCCACGCUGUCUCCACCCGAGACUCAGCGAAAUUGAAUUUGCUGUUAAGAUGCAGUAUACCCGCGGCUAGACGGAAAGACCCCGUGAACCUUUACUAUAGCUUUACACUGGACUUUGAGCCUGCUUGUGUAGGAUAGGUGGGAGGCUUUGAAGCGAGGACGCUAGUUCUCGUGGAGCCAUCCUUGAAAUACCACCCUGGCAUGUUUGGGGUUCUAACUUAGGCCCGUUAUCCGGGUUGAGGACAGUGUAUGGUGGGUAGUUUACCUGGGGCGGGUUUCUCCAAAAAAGUAACGGAGAAGUGCGAAGGUACCCUCAGCACGGUCGGAAAUCGUGCAUUGAGUGCAAAGGCAUAAGGGUGCUUGACUGUGAGACAGACAAGUCGAACAGGUACGAAAGUAGGUCUUAGUGAUCCGGUGGUUCUGUAUGGAAGGGCCAUCGCUCAACGGAUAAAAGGUACUCCGGGGAUAACAGGCUGAUUCCUCCCAAGAGUUCACAUCGACGGGGGAGUUUGGCACCUCGAUGUCGGCUCAUCACAUCCUGGGGCUGUAGUCGGUCCCAAGGGUAUGGCUGUUCGCCAUUUAAAGUGGUACGCGAGCUGGGUUUAGAACGUCGUGAGACAGUUCGGUCCCUAUCUACCGCGGGCGUUGGAAAUUUGAGAAGAGCUGCUCCUAGUACGAGAGGACCGGAGUGGACGUACCUCUGGUGUUCCAGUUAUCAUGCCAAUGGUAUUGCUGGGUAGCUAUGUACGGACGGGAUAACC
rnacentral:rRNA from 1 species